UACGAAGGGGGCGAGCGUUGUUCGGAAUUACUGGGCGUAAAGGGCGCGUAGGCGGCCGAUCAAGUUAGAUGUGAAAGUCCUGGGCUCAACCUGGGGACUGCAUUUGAUACUGAUUGGCUUGAAUCCGGGAGAGGAUAGCGGAAUUCCCAGUGUAGAGGUGAAAUUCGUAGAUAUUGGGAAGAACACCAGUGGCGAAGGCGGCUAUCUGGACCGGCAUUGACGCUGAGGCGCGAAAGCGUGGGGAGCAAACAGG
rnacentral:rRNA from 1 species